CGAGGCCUGGAGGUCAGAGCUCCCUGCCCAAGAUCACACAGUGAGAGAACACAAAACACAAGCCGGGUCAAGAAGAAGCCCUGGGGUUGGUGGUGUCCACUCUGGAACAGGAAAACACUAGAUGGCGCCCGGAGCUCUGAUUUGGAGCUGAGUCCCAGAGCCCUUGCAGACCCCACACCACAGCCUAGAAGCCACUUCUGUUCCUUGGCAUUGGCCACAAGCUCCUGGAUUUGAAGUAGCUUUGUUGCUUUGCAGUCCAUCAGGAUACACGUUUUCAAAGAAACUUUUCCUAAGAAACCGGAGAGACAGACACAAGCAAAGCCCAAGACGGGGAGCAGAUGAGUGAGGGGAGCUGUGGUUGAGGCCCAGCUCUCUACUCACCAGCAGUGCAGGCUCCACGGUAAGCCUCCGCAAGCCUCAGUGUCCCCCCCUGUACCGUUCGAACAACGCCAGCCUCAUUGGCUCGAGGGAAAGAUGGAAGUCUCACUGACAGAGGCUGGGGAAGGCCACAUAUUAGAUCUUUGUCCAUUUUGUUCCUUUACCCUAACAUGGCUGUCUGCUUCUGUACAACUGCUUGCUCUCCCCAUGAGA